CGUGUGCAUGGUUUGAGGUGUGUGUUAAAAUGGCAGUUUAGGAGUUAAUUCGGCUCUAUUUCCAACAAAGACGUUCCCUCCCCCAUAAUCUCCCGUUGCUCAGCAGUUUUGCUCCCUGUUAUUAAAAAAAAAAAACUGCAGUAGAUUUAUUCAUGUUCCUUCAAAUGCGGAAUAUACCUGAAAGUGUCAUCAACAAACUAAAAGAAGACAAAGGUGAGGAUACUUAUUAACUUUUAUAUAAAGUAAGAAAUAGCCUACUUUUAAUGUUGCUAUUUUACUGUAGGAAAUACCAUUUAGCAAACGUUUUGCUUUUUACAGAUCGACACCAAUGUCAUAGGCAUUAUGACAGAUAAGGAGUUAAGCAAGUAUAUCGAAAGAUAUGGGGAUCGACUUGCGCUCAGAGCAUUUUCCCUGUGACAAACGAAGAGUCGGGAGGAGCAGAGACAGUGAAGUCCUCCCUCAUGCAGAAAUUAAGAGACAGGUUAAGAACUCCUAACUCUGACAUACAAGGCACCGCUACUGGCCAAAAAAAAUGCAGCCAAAAUCACCCGGCGGGUUGAAAUGGGAUGGCUCCACUUUGAGAGUGGAAUGUAUCACCAGGUUAGAACGAGAAAAGGAGGAGGAACACGGAAUCUGUCUGUCCAGAAAUCAGUGACUAUGGGUGAACUGUUGGAGACAGGCAAAUGCUUGUUUUUUGCAAAUGGGCAUUCAUCAAAAGGACUGUUGGAAGACUUCGAGUUUGACAUUUGUGAUUACAGACACAAUCCUGUGCCCCGGGAAGUCACGGUGGGCCAGCUGUACGAACAGACUAAACUAAAAAUGCUAUGCAUCUACACAGCCACCAAGUCUAACAAGAUUCUCAGAUUCUCUCUGAUGAAUCAUCGAACUUCGAGCCAACACAGAAAAGGCCACUGAAGACUUAUCAGCACCCCCCGUGAUCCAGAAGAGACAAGCGGUAGAAAAUGGAUGGACGUUUGCCAUAAAAAGACAUGGUUUUCUUUGACAAAAAGGGCUGCAAUACAAUGAAGACAUGAUCCUUGAGGAACAAGACCAGGAGACUCAAUCAAGUGGAUCAUCCAGAGAGCUCCUCCGAUUUAGAUCUGGCUCCCAGUGGCUCAAUGCAGCAAAACCAUGAAUAAAGAGGAGAGACAAUCAGCCAGUCAAGAUCAGCAACUCCUGAGAUGGGUAACACAGAGCUCCUGCAUCCACGACCUACUGAGGAUGUUGGCAGUCAUACUCAGCAGUCAACAAGAAGGCAUAGAUCUGAAGAUGACUGUUUAACACCUGUGCCAAAUCAAGAUGCAGACCAGUUGUUAAGUGAUGUCUCAGAUUCCCCUCUUAAUCCUGCCAUUCCACAAUCUCUUGAGGACUCUGAAGUGAAGUUUGGACCCAUUGUUGGUGAUGAUUGUGAUACUCAAGACCAGGGGCGCCGAAAAGGGGGGGUAAAGGAGACGGAUUCUAGGGGCCCAUGAUGGAGGGGGGCCUAGAGAGGCCCCUAAUGAUGAUGAAAUUAUAAUACAGGGGGCCCUGUAAAGAUUAUUUUCAUGGGGCCCAAAAUCCCUAGCAGCGCCCCUGCUCAAGACACCACUCUUCCCUGGAAUCUACAUGACUUGAGCAGCAUGCAGCAUUCUACAUUCAAUGAUGGUCCUGUAUCAUCAAGCUGUCUUCCAGCAUCACCAGAUCCAUUUGACAAAGAAAUCCUUAUUUUGAAAUUAAGACGAGUAAACAUAGUUGAUGAUGUCCUUAAUGUCUUCAUGGAUCCAGAAGUACUGAAUGCUAGUCUAAGAAUGGAGUUUACAAAUGAGAAAGCUAUGGAUAGUGAUGGUGUGUCAAGAGAGGCAUACUCCGCAUUCUGGGACCACUUCUUGACCAGUGUGAGGGGGAAGAUGAACGAGUACCCAGGCUACGACCAGACUAUUCUGAGAAGAAAUGGCAAGCUCUCGGAAGAGUGUGGUUGAAAGGAUACCUGGACCACAAAAUCCUACCAAUCAGACUGUCACCAGCCUUUGUUCUUGCCUGUUGUAAAGGAGUUAGCUCAGUGGAUGAAGAACUAUUGAUGAUGUCAUUUGCCAGAUUUCUUUCAGAGAAUGAGCGUGUGUCUCUUGAAAAAGCACUACAGGUGAAACUGUUCAGGAGGACUUACUUGAUGUCUUCUCCAGAAUGGGCUCACACUGCCUGCCCCCUAAAAACAAUUUACGGGCUGCUAUUUUAACAAUGGCACACAAAGCUCUUCUUCAAGAGCCAAAGUUCAUAAUUCACUGUUUCCACUCCAGUGUUCAUAAUGCUAUGCCAACGCUCAUAACCAAAGACAACAUAAUGGAGAUAUAUGAAUCUAAGAGGCAACUAACAAGAAAGUGGCCCAGAUGAUAAAACCAUCAUUUGAAAGCCUAAAUCCACAAGAGCAGACUGCCCUUAACCACCUGCUACGGUAUGUGAGAAGCAAAGAAAAUUGGAGAUCUUCUUACGCUUCUGCACAGGAUCUACUGUGCUGUGCAAAGACACAAUUGAAGUAAUUUUUAACACAUUGUGUGGUUUAAGUCGCAGGCCUGUAGCACACACAUGUGGAGCAGUUUUUGAGUUACCAUGCACUUACAGCACAUACCCUGAGUUUCGCAAAGAAUUUGAUAAUGUCUUGUCUGGCGACUGCUUCACAAUGGAUAUUGUGUAGUGAAUUGAAAGCGCAUCUAUCUUCUACACUGAGGUUAUUAUGGCAUUUGUCUGAUGUAAAACUGUUUCUACAGAUUUCCAUUUAUUGUUCUUAUUAAAACAGAGACCGUUUACAUUUCUUAAAUUGUUUUAUUUUCUUAUUUUUUUUGUAAAUUGUUCGUACAUUGAGAUUCAAUUUUUUUCCACAAGACAGUUUAAGUUUAAUAAUUUUGAUAAGUCAGCAGGGUCUGUUCUCAAAGGUGAAAGUCCCUUUUUGUACAAUUAUUACAUUUUCAUGUGCAUCUUUUAUACAAUUGUGAUUCUGAAUGAUGUUCAGAAUUUCUGUCAUCAUUCAACAAAGAAAUUCCUGUUCAAUGCAAGCACAAUACAUUUCAAAUGGUUGUCAAGUUCUGUUCAUUUCCUCUUUCAUGUCCUGCCUUGUUUCUCUUUGUAGUCAGUGUGCUUAUAGUGACAUAUCAAUCCUAUUUGCACCUCAAAUGUUCUUAAUGUUUGUGGCAUAGCACUGUUCAAGUGUAGUCAGUGUGGACAUGUUGUAGCCCUGAAUAAUCGGAAUAAAAAUUAAUCUCAAAUUAGAGAGCAGAUGUUAUCUCAUUCCUUAGGUGCAGGUAGAAAUCGAAUGCUUGAUAAGCAUCAGCUGGAAGAUGCAGCUGUGACUCUGCCAUCAGAAUGUUGCAGAUGUUGUAGAUGUCUGUGUCACAUGGCACUGCUGGUGGAAAUGUGCAGUUACUCUGACUCAACUGUACAUCAGCUCUCUCAACUGGGGAAAUGCAAUCACAAGUUGUGUAGAGUUCUGGGAACAUGUACAUGAUUCGGGGGCGACCACUGGGCGACCAUUCUUUGAUGGUCUGAUGACAUGUGCAUCCCACACAUUGAUGGUCUCGUCUAAUUCAUCCUGGAAAAACAGUACAGAGAGAAAGAAAAGUAAAUUAAUAUGCAAUUUGUUAUUCUCAUCAUGUGCUCUUU